rnacentral:rRNA from 1 species
UACGAAGGGGGCUAGCGUUGCUCGGAAUGACUGGGCGUAAAGGGCGCGUAGGCGGUUGGACAGUCAGGCGUGAAAUUCCCGGGCUUAACCUGGGGCUGCGCUUGAUACAUCCAGGCUUGAGUGGGGAAGAGGGUCGUGGAAUUCCAGUGUAGAGGUGAAAUCGUAGAUAUUGGGAAGAACACGGUGGCGAAGGCGGCGACCUGGUCCUUUACUGACGCUGAGGCGCGAAAGCGUGGGGAGCAAACAGG